rnacentral:rRNA from 1 species
UACGAAGGGGGCGAGCGUUGUUCGGAAUCACUGGGCGUAAAGGGUGCGUAGGCGGCGAUGAAAGUUAGAUGUGAAAGCCCCAGGCUCAACUUGGGAAUUGCAUUUAAAACUACAUCGCUCGAAUCUCGGAGAGGAUAGCGGAAUUGUCAGUGUAGCAGUGAAAUGCGUAGAUAUUGACAGGAACACCAGUGGCGUAAGCGGCUAUCUGGACGAGUAUUGACGCUGAGGCACGAAAGCGUGGGGAUCAAACAGG